AACGAACGCUGGCGGCAUGCCUAACACAUGCAAGUCGAACGAGACCUUCGGGUCUAGUGGCGCACGGGUGCGUAACGCGUGGGAACCUGCCCUUAGGUUCGGAAUAACUCCCCGAAAGGGGUGCUAAUACCGGAUAAUGUCUUCUGACCAAAGAUUUAUCGCCUUUGGAUGGUCCCGCGUUGGAUUAGCUAGUUGGUAGGGUAAAAGCCUACCAAGGCGACGAUCCAUAGCUGGUCUGAGAGGAUGAUCAGCCACACUGGGACUGAGAAACGGCCCAGACUCCUACGGGAGGGAGCAGUGGGGAAUAUUGCACCAUGGGGGAAAGGCUGAUACAGCAAUGACGGGUGAGUGAUGAAGGCCUUAGGGUUGUAAAGCGCUUUUAACCGGGAUGAUAAUGACAGUACCGGGAGAAUAAGCUCCGGCUAACUCCGUG
rnacentral:rRNA from 1 species